UGGGGAAUAUUGCACAAUGGAGGGAACUCUGAUGCAGCGACGCCGCGUGAACGAAGAAGGCUUUCGAGUCGUAAAGUUCUUUUAUAUGGGAAGAUAAUGACGGUACCAUAAGAAAAAGCCCCGGCUAACUACGUGCCAGCAGCCGCGGUAAUACGUAGGGGGCUAGCGUUGUCCGGAAUCACUGGGCGUAAAGGGUUCGCAGGCGGAAAUGCAAGUCAGAUGUAAAAGGCAGUAGCUUAACUACUGUAAGCAUUUGAAACUGCAUAUCUUGAGAGGAGUAGAGGUAAGUGGAAUUUUUAGUGUAGCGGUGAAAUGCGUAGAUAUUAAAAAGAAUACCGGUGGCGAAGGCGACUUACUGGGCUCAUUCUGACGCUGAGGAACGAAAGCGUGGGUAGCAAACAGG
rnacentral:rRNA from 1 species